rfam:Oryza rufipogon genomic scaffold, chr01
UCUAAUUGUAGUUAUGAGUUUGUAUGUCUAACGUUUGAUUGUUAUUAUUAGAUGAUAAAACAUAAAUAAUGCUUUACGUGUUACUAUUUAAAAAAAUCAUAAAUUUUUAAAUAAGACAGACGGUUAAACGUUGGAUACGAAAACCCACAGCUAUACAUAAA